rnacentral:rRNA from 1 species
UACGUAGGUGGCAAGCGUUGUCCGGAUUUACUGGGCGUAAAGAGCGCGCAGGCGGUCGGAUAAGUCGAAUGUGAAAGCCCCCGGCUCAACUGGGGAGGGUCAUUCGAUACUGUUCGACUCGAAGGCAGGAGAGGGAAGUGGAAUUCCCGGUGUAGUGGUGAAAUGCGUAGAUAUCGGAAGGAACGCCGGUGGCGAAAGCGCUCGACUGGACCUCUUCUGACGCUGAGGCGCGAAAGCCAGGGGAGCAAACGGG